CCUCCAAUGGGUCAGUUGGGAGAGCGUUAGACACUGAAGAUCUAAAGGUCCCUGGUUCAAUCCCGGGUUUUAGUU